rnacentral:rRNA from 1 species
CAGCCGCCGCGGUAAUACCGGCGGCCCGAGUGGCGGCCACUAUUAUUGGGCUUAAAGCGUCCGUAGCCGGGUUGGUUAGUCUCCCGGGAAAUCUGGCCGCUUAACGGUCAGAAUUCCGGGAGAUACUGCCAGCCUAGGGACCGGGAGAGGCCGAGGGUAUUCCCGGAGUAGGGGUGAAAUCCUAUAAUCCCGGGAGGACCACCUGUGGCGAAGGCGCUCGGCUGGAACGGGUCCGACGGGGAGGGACGAAGGCCAGGGGAGCAAACCGGAUUAGAUACCCGGGUAGUCCUGGCUGUAAACGAUGCGGACUUUGUGUCGGACAAGCCAUGAGCUUGUCCGGUGCCGGAGGGAAACCGUUAAGUCCGCCGCCUGGGGAGUACGGCCGCAAGGCUGAAACUUAAAGGAAUUGGCGGG